rnacentral:lncRNA from 1 species
GAGCUUGCAGAGCUUGGCGUUGGCUUGGUUUGAUUUAUUUUGAUUUUCCCUAUUGAUGGCAAAGGAAAAAAAAAAAAAAAAGAAUGUAGGGGAGGUGGCACAGGGAAAUAAAGUGGGACAGAAGAGGAGAAAGAGUAUUGGCAAAAGGAAAAGGAACCGAACACCCAGUGCGUAAUAAUGAGAGCGAUAACAGCAAUGUUGGGUGCCGACCCUGGGCCAGGUCCUGAGCUGGCAGGUUGCAGGGAUUUACAGCAUGACUCCUGUGAGGUUUGAUACUCCUCUUUUCAUCUCACACGUGACGAACUGGAAGCACAGACGUUUAGUUGUUUCCUGAGGGUCACUCAGCAAGCAAACUGUGGUGCUCACGUUGCAACCCAAGGCUGGGGACUCCAAGGGUAAUACGUGUAUCUGUUUCUGCCACAAGCAGUGUCCUUGGAAGUCUUACAACUCCACAGACCACGUACUUCCUGGGCCAAAGAGCACUCCUAGUCUUUGGGGGGAUAGAAACUGAGAGAAGCAAAGAGAGACCUCCACCAUUCCAAGGUGGGACAUGUUAAAGUCCUGUUCGUGGAGAAAAGCUUUCGUGGUUGAAUGAGAGAGUUGCAAUUGUAUCUAUUUCUCUAGAGCAUUGCCAGUUGCACUUUUCAAUAAAAAAUCUUCACAUUUAUGUCCUUAUGGCUGUCCAGAGCAUCAUAGGGUAUCUGAAGAC